UACAGAGGGUGCAAGCGUUGUUCGGAAUUAUUGGGCGUAAAGGGCGCGUAGGCGGCGCGGUACGACCGCUGUGAAAGCCCCCAGCUCAACUGGGGAGGGUCAGCGGUAACGGCCGUGCUAUGAGUGCAGGAGAGGGAAGUGGAACUCCGGGAGUAGCGGUGAAAUGCGUAGAGACCCGGAGGAACACCAGUGGCGAAGGCGGCUUCCUGGUCUGCGACUGACGCUGUGGCGCGAAAGCUAGGGGAGCAAACGGG
rnacentral:rRNA from 1 species